UAGUAUGUGAAUUGCAGAAUUCAGUGAAUCAUCGAAUCUUUGAACGCACCUUGCGCCCUUUGGUAUUCCGAAGGGCACACCUGUUUGAGUGUCGUGA
rnacentral:rRNA from 2 species